UGAGGAAUAUUGGGCAAUGCCCGCAAGGGUGACCCAGCAACGCCGCGUGGAGGAUGAAUGUCGUAAGAUUGUAAACUCCUGUUAGAGGGGAAGAAUAGUACCGGUUGGACCGGUAUAUGACUGUACCCUCAGAGAAAGCCCCGGCUAACUACGUGCCAGCAGCCGCGGUAAUACGUAGGGGGCAAGCGUUGUCCGGAUUUACUGGGGGUAAAGGGCGCGCAGGCGGGAUAAAAAGUCAGUGGUGAAAUCCUACAGCUUAACUGUAGAACUGCCUGGGAUACUUUUAUUUGUGAGUUCGGGAGAGAGAGACGGAAUUCCAGGUGUAGUGGUGAAAUACGUAGAUAUCGGGAAGAACACCAGUGGCGAAGGCGGUCUCUUGGUCCGACACUGACGCUGAGGCGCGAAAGCGUGGGGAGCAAACA
rnacentral:rRNA from 1 species